CAUGCAAGUCGAACGGCAGCACGGGUAGCUUGCACCUGGUGGCGAGUGGCGAACGGGUGAGUAAUGCAUCGGAACGUACUAUCAGUGGGGGAUAACACAUCGAAAGAUGUGCUAAUACCGCAUAUUAUCCGAGGAUGAAAGCGGGGGACCUUAGGGCCUCGCGCUGAUAGAGCGGCCGAUGUCGGAUUAGCUAGUUGGUGAGGUAAAGGCUCACCAAGGCGACGAUCUGUAGCGGGUCUGAGAGGAUGAUCCGCCACACUGGGACUGAGACACGGCCCAGACUCCUACGGGAGGCAGCAGUGGGGAAUUUUGGACAAUGGGCGAAAGCCUGAUCCAGCCAUGCCGCGUGAGUGAAGAAGGCCUUCGGGUUGUAAAGCUCUUUCGGCUGGGAAGAAAUCGCACAGGCUAAUACUCUGUGUGGAUGACGGUACCAGCACAAGAAGCACCGGCUAACUACGUG
rnacentral:rRNA from 1 species